ACAGACCGUACUGGUUUAUAUGGAGUUGUGGUGUAUAAUGACCAAACUUAUCCCAUAACUUCUAGCCAGCAGACCAGAGAUCAGGCACCUGUUGUGUAUGGAGAAUUGGAGUGGCAGCAACCCACAAAGAGAGUGACCGUUCUCUGGAGGAAUAAGAAUGUCCGACGGGUGGCGAUACUCACUGGUGUGAUGUUCCUCCU